UUAACACAUGCUAGUCGAACGGAAACGAAAUAGCUUGCUAUUUGGCGUCGAGUGGCGAACGGGUGAGUAACGCGUAGGAAUCUACCCAGUAGAGGGGGAUAGCCCGAAGAAAUUCGGAUUAAUACCGCAUAAUCUCUACGGAGUAAAGAAGGCCUCUUUACAAUGCUUUUACUAUUGGAUGAGCCUGCGUUAGAUUAGUUAGUUGGUAGGGUAAAAGCCUACCAAGGCGACGAUCUAUAGCUGGUUUUACGAGGAUGAUCAGCCACACUGGAACUAAGACACGGUCCAGACUCCUACGGGAGGCAGCAGUGAAGAAUAUUGGACAAUGGGGGAAACCCUGAUCCAGCAAUGUUGCGUGUGUGAAGAAGGUCCGAGGAUUGUAAAGCACUUUCAGUAAGCAAGAAAAAUGUAAAUCUAAUAGAUUUGCAUGUUGACCACUUAUAGAAGAAGCACCGGCUAACUCCGUGCCAGCAGCCGCGGUAAUACGGAGGGUGCGAGCGUUAAUCGGAAUUAACUGGGCGUUAAAGGGUAAGUAGGCGGUUUAUAAAGUCACAUGUGAAAGCCCUAGGCUUAACCUAGGAAGUGCAUGUGA
rnacentral:rRNA from 1 species